rnacentral:rRNA from 1 species
GACGAACGCUGGCGGCGUGCUUAACACAUGCAAGUCGAACGGAAAGGCCCUGCUUUUGUGGGGUGCUCGAGUGGCGAACGGGUGAGUAACACGUGAGUAACCUGCCCUUGACUCUGGGAUAACUUCAGGAAACUGGGGCUAAUACCGGAUAGGAGCUCCUGCUGCAUGGUGGGGGUUGGAAAGUUUCGGCGGUUGGGGAUGGACUCGCGGCUUAUCAGCUUGUUGGUGGGGUAGUGGCUUACCAAGGCUUUGACGGGUAGCCGGCCUGAGAGGGUGACCGGCCACAUUGGGACUGAGAUACGGCCCAGACUCCUACGGGAGGCAGCAGUGGGGAAUAUUGCACAAUGGGCGGAAGCCUGAUGCAGCAACGCCGCGUGCGGGAUGACGGCCUUCGGGUUGUAAACCGCUUUCGCCUGUGACGAAGCGUGAGUGACGGUAAUGGGUAAUGAAGCACCGGCUAACUACGUG